rnacentral:rRNA from 1 species
AACGAACGCCGGCGGCAGGCUUAACACAUGCAAGUCGAGCGCCCCGCAAGGGGAGCGGCAGACGGGUGAGUAACGCGUGGGAAUCUACCCAUCUCUACGGAAUAACGCAUGGAAACGUUUGCUAAUACCGUAUACGUCCUUCGGGAGAAAGACUUAUCGGAGAUGGAUGAGCCCGCGUUGGAUUAGCUAGUUGGUGGGGUAAAGGCCUACCAAGGCGACGAUCCAUAGCUGGUCUGAGAGGAUGAUCAGCAACACUGGGACUGAGACACGGCCCAGCCUCCUACGGGAGGCAGCAGUGGGGAAUAUUGGAGAAUGGGCGCAAGCCUGAUCCAGCCAUGCCGCGUGAGUGAUGAAGGCCCUAGGGUUGUAAAGCUCUUUCACCGGUGAAGAUAAUGACGGUAACCGGAGAAGAAGCCCCGGCUAACUUCGUGCCAGCCGCCGCAGUAAUAC